rnacentral:rRNA from 1 species
GCUAUCUGCAGUCGAGGGGCAGCAUGGUGUAGCAAUACACUGAUGGCGACCGGCAAACGGGUGCGGAACACGUACGCAACCUACCCAUAACUGGGGGAUAGCCCGGGGAAACCCGGAUUAAUACCUCGUAAUACUAUGAUGUGGCAUCAUGUUAUAGUUAUAGCUCCGGUGGUUAUGGAUGGGCGUGCGCCUGAUUAGGUAGUUGGCGGGGUAACGGCCCACCAAGCCUACGAUCAGUAACUGGUGUGAGAGCACGACCAGUCACACGGGCACUGAGACACGGGCCCGACUCCUACGGGAGGCAGCAGUAAGGAAUAUUGGUCAAUGGACGCAAGUCUGAACCAGCCAUGCCGCGUGAAGGAUGAAGGUCCUCUGGAUUGUAAACUUCUUUUGUAUGGGACGAAACCCUCGGAUUCUUCUGAGAUUGACGGUACCAUAGGAAUAAGCACCGGCUAACUCCGUGCCAGCAGCCGCGGUAAUACGGAGGGUGCAAGCGUUAUCCGGAUUCACUGGGUUUAAAGGGUGCGUAGGAGGGCAGGGAAGUCAGUGGUGAAAUCUCCGGGCUUAACUCGGAAACUGCCGUUGAUACUCUCUGUCUUGAAUACCGUGGAGGUGAGCGGAAUAUGUCAUGUAGCGGUGAAAUGCUUAGAUAUGACAUAGAACACCAAUUGCGAAGGCAGCUCACUACACACAUAUUGACUCUGAGGCACGAAAGCGUGGGGAUCAAACAGGAUUAGAUACCCUGGUAGUCCACGCCCUAAACGAUGGAUACUCGACAUACGCGAUACACAGUGUGUGUCUGAGCGAAAGCAUUAAGUAUCCCACCUGGGAAGUACGACCGCAAGGUUGA